GAUGGCGACCGGCGCACGGGUGAGUAACACGUAUCCAACCUGCCGAUGACUCGGGGAUAGCCUUUCGAAAGAAAGAUUAAUACCCGAUGGCAUAGUUCUUCCGCAUGGUAGAACUAUUAAAGAAUUUCGGUCAUCGAUGGGGAUGCGUUCCAUUAGGUUGUUGGCGGGGGUAACGGCCCACCAAGCCUUCGAUGGAUAGGGGUUCUGAGAGGAAGGUCCCCCACAUUGGAACUGAGACACGGUCCAAACUCCUACGGGAGGCAGCAUG
rnacentral:rRNA from 1 species